GUGCUUACUUCUACUGCACAUAUACUAAAAUAGGACCAUUCAGAGAGGAGGAGCAUGGCCCCUGAGCAAGCAUGAUGCACACAUUCAUUAAGCCUUGCAUAUUUAA